rnacentral:rRNA from 1 species
UGGGGAAUAUUGGACAAUGGGCGCAAGCCUGAUUCAGCCAUGCCGCGUGAGUGACGAAGGUCUUCGGAUUGUAAAGCUCUUUUGGCGGGGACGAUAAUGACGGUACCCGCAGAAUAAGCCCCGGCUAACUUCGUGCCAGCAGCCGCGGUAAUACGAAGGGGGCUAGCGUUGUUCGGAAUUAUUGGGCGUAAAGCGCACGUAGGCGGACUGAUAAGUCAGGGGUGAAAUCCCGGGGCUCAACCUCGGAACUGCCUUUGAUACUGUUAGUCUCGAGUCCGGAAGAGGUGAGUGGAAUUCCUAGUGUAGAGGUGAAAUUCGUAGAUAUUAGGAAGAACACCAGUGGCGAAGGCGGCUCACUGGUCCGGUACUGACGCUGAGGUGCGAAAGCGUGGGGAGCAAACAGGAUUAGAUACCCCCGUAGUCCCUGAGCGGGCUGGCAAGGCGCAU